ensembl:lncRNA
GGGGGGGACGUCGGUGACAAGGGGGGGGGCGGCGAUGGCGCCGGAGGCGGCGGCACCGUGGGGACGGGAGGCGGCGGCGCCGAUGGGGGGCGGCUCGGCGGCGGCGGCGGCGGAGGUGACACCCGCGGCACCGGAGGUGGCACAGAGGAUGUCCCCGUUGUCACCGGAGGUGGCCCCGUGGGGACGGGAGGGGACGAGGAUGAUGAGGGACAGGGCAGCGGUGACGCGAGGGGCGACGCCGAUGGCGCUGGAGAUGGCGCUGUGGGGACGGGAGGUGACAAAGGACGGGGCGGCGGUGGCGGCGGAGGUGACAUCGAUGGCGCGAGAGGUGGCACGAAGGAUGUCCCCGUUGUCACUGGAGAUGGCACCGUGGGGACAGGAGGUGCCACCACCAACCCAGGACAGGUCAGCAGUGACACCGAUGGCACGAGAGGUGACACUGAUGGCGCGAGAGGUGACAUCUGUGACACAAGGGACAUCUCCGAUGGCGCCGGUGAUGCCACCAGCCAUGAGGGACGGACCACCGGUGACACGAGAGGGGACAUCCGUGGCACGAGAGGUGACGCCGAUGGCACUGGAGAUGGCACUGUGGAGGCGGGAGGUGACACCGGUGACAAAGGACGGGUCAGCAGUGACACCAGAGGUGACAUCCGUGACAGCAGAGGUGGCACGAAGGACCCCUCCAGUGGCACUGGAGAUGCCACCGCUGAUGGAGGACGGGUCCGUGGUGACACGAGAGGUGACACAAGGGACAUCAGCAAUGGCAGCGGAGAUGCCACCACCCGUGGGGGACGGACCGCCGGUGACACGAGAGGGGACAGCGAUGGCACUGGAGAUGGUACCAGCCACAAAGGCCAGGCCACCAGUGACACGGGAGGUGACAUCCGCGACAGCAGAGGUGACGCAGGUGACACGAAGGACCUCCUCCCCCAUGUCACCGGAGAUGCCACCACCACCACCAAGCUGGGACAGCCCGCCGGUGACACGAGUGGUGACAUCCGCGACACGACGGGUGACACCGGUGGCACUGGAGAUGGCACUUUGGGGACAGGAGGUGCCGCCAGUGAGCCGGGACGGGUCAGCGGUGACAGCAGAGGUGACACGAGGGACGUCCCCUUUGUCACUGGAGGUGACACCGUGGGGACAGGAGAUGCCACCGCUGACCCAGGACAGACCACCGCCGGGGGAGGAGGUGACAGAGGGGACGCGAAGGCCACCACCCACACGGGGCAGAGCGUUGGUGACACCAGAGGUGACACCAGAGGUGACACGGGAGGUGACAGGAGGGACGUCCCCUUUGGGACAGCAGCCAGAAGGACGCGGGAUGUCCCCAUGGACCCCACAGCUGUCACCUUCGUCACCCAAAGUGUCACCUCCAGCCCUGGUGACACCGAUGUCCCCAACGGUGCCACCACGGACACUGGAGACUGGGUCACCGUCGUCACCCAAAGUGUCACCUCCGCCCCCUUUGUCACACGUGGUGUCCCCAGCCCGGACAGGACGGACACCACCCCCCAUCCCACCCCGGGGGGGACAUUUUUGGGGACAAGCCCUUCUGUCCCCAACGCCGGCGGGCGCCGAUGUCCCCAAAUCGGGGGGGUGCGGGGAGGGGGGGGGGGUGGCCCUUGGGGACGUCACCGCCCCACCAAAGGGGUCCCCAGGGGUGUCCCCGAGGGGGUCUUCGUGGAUGGACCCCGAGUGGCACCCAGGGGUGACCCCGAAGGUGACAGCGGAGACGGCCCCAGUGUCCCCAGAGAGGGACCGGGGGUCCCCGGUGUCCCCAAAGGGCUCCUCAAAGAUGUCCCCGAUGUCCCCAAAGGGGUCCUCGGAGGUGACCCCAAUGUCCCCAAAGGGGUCUUCAGAUGUGUCCCCAAAGGGGUCCUCGGAGGUGACCCCGAUGUCCCCAAAGGGGUCCCCAGAGGUGGCCCCAGAGAUGUCCCCAAUGUCCCUGGGGGAGAAGUCCUUGGAAAUGUCCCCAGUGUCCCCAAAGGGCUCGUCAGAAGUGUCCCCAAAGGGGCCCUCGGAGGUGGCCCCAGAGAUGUCCCCAGAGAAGCGUCCAACGUCCCCAAAUGUGUCCUUGGAAGUGGCCCCAGUGUCCCCAAAGGGGCCCCCAAAGGCGGUCCCGGGGACGUCCCACGUGUCCCCAAAGGGGUCCUCGGAUGUGUCCCCAAAUGGGACCUCAGAGAGGCACCCAACGUCCCCAGAGCGCUCCUUGGGUGUCCCCCUGAUGUCCCCUUGUGGGUCCCCGAAGGUGGCCCUGGGGACGUCCCCAAAGGGGUCCUCGGAUUUGUCCCCAAUGUCCCCAAAGGGGUCGUCGGAAAUGUCCCCAAAUGGGUCCUCAGAUGUGGCCCAGAUGUCCCCAAAGGGCUCCUUGGAGAUGUCCCCAAUGUCCCCAAGGGGGUCCUCAGAUGUGUCCCCAAAGGGGUCCUUGGCGACGUCCCCAAAUGGCUCCCAGAUGUCCCCAAAGGGGUCCUUGGCGACGUCCCCAAAUGGCUCCCAGAUGUCCCCAAAUGGCUCCUCGAAAAUGUCCCCGAUGUCCCCAAAGGGGUCCUCGGAAGUAGCCCCGAUGUCCCCAGAUGCGUCCUCAGAAAUGUCCCCGAAGGGGUCCUCGGAGAUGUCCCCAAAUGGCUCCCAGAUGUCCCCAAAGGGGUCCUCGGAGAUGUCCCCAAAUGGCUCCCAGCCGUCCCCCAAGGGACCCUUGGAAGUGUCCCCGAUGUCCCCCGAGGGCUCCUCGGACCCCCCCAAGGGCCGCCCAAACGGGACCUGGGGGCGGUGCCCCGACGAGGACCCCAAACCGUGUCCCCAAAGGGGGUCCCCCCAAAAACCCCCCGGGAAGGUCCCCAAAGGGUCCCCACGGCGGUCCCCAAAGGGGUCCCCGCGAAAAGCCCCCGAGAUGUCCCCAAAGGGGUCCCCAAAGGGGUCCCCAAAAAGACCCCCCGAGAUGUCCCCAAAGGGGUCCCCAAGACGACGCCAAGAGAUGUCCCCAAGAAGACCCCCCGAGACGCCCCCAAGGGGGUCUCCAAAGGGGUCCCCAAGAAGACCCCCCGAGACGUCCCCAAAGGGGUCCCCGCGACGCCGCCGAGAGGUGUCCCCAAAGGGGUCCCCGCGAAGACCCCCGGAAACGUCCCCAAAAGGGUCCCCGAGGAGACCCGUGGAAACGUCCCCAAAGGGUUCCCCGAGGAGACCCCCCCCCCAACCCCCGCCCCCCCCGGCGUCCCCAUCACCCGUCGGAGGGGACGCAGACGUCGUCGUCGUCGUCACCGCCGCCGCCGCCGCCUUCCCCGCGUCGGGGGGGGGGUUUUCCUCGGAGACCCCCGAACCCAACGAGGGAGGGGAAGGAGAUUUCGGGGACCCCCAACGACGGCGGUGCGGGUCGGGUUGGGAGGGAGGGGGAUCGA